AUCAGGGGUAAACCUGUGGAACUCGAACGAGCGAACGGGGAGAUUCACCGCUCUUCCGUAUCGGUCCGCGGCGGCGCGUAUCGGGCGGACGCGAUUCGUCGCGUCCGUCGGCGCGCCGUCGUCUCUGCGACAGACCGGCGGAGUGCGUGCACUUCUCCCUCAGUAUAACACCGCGACCCGUUGGAUUUUCGUCGAUCGAACACGUCGUGCGGUCGUCCGCCGUUUGCCCGUUAAAAAGGCAGGCGACGGAGCCGCGACGUUGCGGCCGACGUUCGACGGUAACGAACUAGGUUCGCGUCCGCUUCCUAGUCCGCUAGGAGGCGUCCGUGACGCUGCGGCGGCGCUCCCCGCGUAGACCUCGGCGCUUCUAGCGUCGCGGGCUCUGCGCGUGCGAAUACCAGAGCGUCGCUUCUGUUUAAUGCGGCGUCGUCUCGGACGGGACGCGUCCCGGUCAGCGGUGGUUUUGUUUCGGGCACUCACAGGACCCGUCUUGA
rnacentral:rRNA from 1 species